rnacentral:lncRNA from 1 species
UCCUUUGGAAAAUACGAUAGCUGUCGGGUAUGCACCCCAGGCCCACGAGUAGACCUUGGACGGCCCACUAAGGGACGUACUCGGAUGUGAUCAGGACAAAGGGAUAGGCUUAUCCCACUCGGACUAGUCAAGUAUGUAUAUAGAAAACCACUCGGGUCAUACCGAGUAGAACUCUGUAAUUGUACUUGACUAGGACUUGGACUUGUAACCUUGCCCUCCCGUGUAUAUAAGGGUGGGCAGGGACCCCCCCCCCCAAAACAAAACAACUCCAAGUGCAUCUAAGAUCAAUACAAACACACAGGACGUAGGGUAUUACGCGAUCUAGCGGCCCGAACCUGUCUAAAUCGUGUUCCUUGCGUCACCAUUGAUUCCUUGAUUCUCGACGGCCCUUACCGCACAAAAGACCACCU